rnacentral:rRNA from 1 species
GUGUCAGCAGCCGCGGUAAUACGUAGGGUGCAAGCGUUGUCCGGAAUCAUUGGGCGUAAAGCGCGCGUAGGCGGCCCGAUAAGUCCGCUGUAAAAGUCAACGGCUCAACUGUUGAAAGCCGGUGGAUACUGUCGGGCUAGAGUACGGAAGAGGCAAGUGGAAUUCCUGGUGUAGCGGUGGAAUGCGCAGAUAUCAGGAGGAACACCUAUAGCGAAGGCAGCUUGCUGGGACGUUACUGACGCUAAGGCGCGAAAGCGUGGGGAGCGAACAGGAUUAGAUACCCUGGUAGUCCACGCCGUAAACGAUGAGAACUAGGUGUGGGAGGUGUCGACUCCUCCCGUGCCGUCGCUAACGCAUUAAGUUCUCCGCCUGGGGAGUACGGCCGCAAGGCUAAA